rnacentral:rRNA from 1 species
UACGUAGGGAGCAAGCGUUGUCCGGAAUCAUUGGGCGUAAAGCGCGCGUAGGUGGCCCUGUAAGUCCGUUGUGAAAGUCAAAGGCUCAACCUUUGAAAGCCGAUGGAUACUGCAGGACUAGAGUACGGAAGAGGCGAGUGGAAUUCCUGGUGUAGCGGUGGAAUGCGCAGAUAUCAGGAGGAACACCGGUGGCGAAGGCGGGUCUCUGGGCCGUAACUGACGCUGAGGAGCGAAAGCGUGGGGAGCGAACAGG